CUUUUACUCCCUCCGUCCACCAAAAGAUGUCUCAAGUUUAUCAAAAUUUAGAUGUAUCUAGACAUGACUUAGUAUAUAGAUGCAUUCAAAUUUGAUCAAAAAUUAAACAUAUUUUGUUUGGACGGAGAGAGUACUCG
rfam:Brachypodium distachyon strain Bd21 chromosome 2, whole genome shotgun sequence.